CCACAGCAGUAGUUCGAUCACCACUUCGAUUGUAUAGGGAUAAAAUAUAAGGAUGAUUGACUUUAGUGCAAGUGAAAGAUUGAAAGGAAUAUACCCUACAUGCCAAUUGAAAUUUGUAUUUUGAUGGAUUUUCUUUAUAAUCUUUCAGACUCAUGUAAUUGACACUUUAUAAAUAAAAGGCAUCUAUUUUUCAUCAUGUACUGCAUCUUACAUUCAUAAUAAUUAUGAUGAACCCCAUUAAUCAAGAUAAUUAUUUUAAGAUUAUGAUGAGAUCAUACCUAUGAGAUCUAAAAUCUUAAAAAUCUUGAUU
rnacentral:lncRNA from 1 species